GACGAACGCUGGCGGCGUGCUUAACACAUGCCAGUCGAACGGAAAGGCCCUGCUUGCUCGUGGCUCUAGCGGCGCACGGGUGAGUAAAACAUGGGAGUCUGCCUGCUAGUGCGGGGUAACGUCUGGAAAAGAGCGCUUAUAACACCUAAGUCGUGCUCGUGCUAGUGGGGGGUGUUCGGAAUUGUGGGUAAGGGAUGAGCCGACGGCCGAUUAGCUAGUUGGUGGGGUAAAGGCCUACAAAGGCGUCGAUGGGUAGCUGGCCUGAAGGGGUGACCGGCAAAAUGGGGACGGAGAUAAGGCCAGGACUCCUCGGGGAGGAAGAAGUGGGGAGUAUUGAACAAGGGGGGGAAGCCUGAUGAAGCAAGGCGGCGUGCGGGAUGAGGGCCUCCGGGUUGUAAAGCGCUUUCGCCUGUGACGAAGCGUGAGUGACGGUAAUGGGUAAAGAAGCACCGGCUAACUACGUG
rnacentral:rRNA from 1 species